CCUAGAUCUACAGCAACCUCUCAUCUCUCUCCCUCUUUUAUCGAUCUCUCUCUACAUAGCCCCCCCUCUUUCUCUCUCUCUCUCUCUCUCUCUGGUGAAGGUAGUGUCUGGUCUUGGCUAGCAGUGGCAGCGACGGGCGUGCUCUAUUCCGACCACCUCUGUAGAUCCGGCGUACUCUAUCAGCGGCGACGCAGUCCAGCAAAGCCGCAGCUUACACUCUGCCAGCACUGCCCAACGCCAACGUCUUCUUCCUUGCAUCGACCGCCGACGUCUUCUUCUUCUUUGCGCUAAUGCCGGCUCGCCUCGUCGACCACUUCUCCGCGGACGACAGCACAGCGCCGACAACCCACUACCGACCUUCCGGCUGCUCGCAUCGACGACAACUGGUCCGCUCCGCUGCUCUGUCGUCCGCUCCAGUGACCUACUGCUGCCUGAGUUCUGCAACCAGUGUUCAUUGCAUGGUAUGAGACCUCUCCCACACUAGUGCUCCCUCUUGGUUCAUUUACAAAUGGGAAAUAGUCACCCUGCUCCUAAGGAAAAGGUUUAGCAUAUAGUUGUACAAACAAAUACAAAUACUACAGUUACUCUAGAAGCUUAGUUCUUUUUACAAUGCUUUGAGGUCUAAUGGACAGAUACUGCAUUAGUUUUAGCUGAAGCUCUAGAUUAUGUAAUCCAGUAGAUUAUCUAUUAAUGUAUUUGAUACCAUUUCUAAUGAUGUUACACUUUACAAUGCUAUAACUUUACAAUGCUAUACCUUUGUUAUUGUUAU